UAAGCGGAGGAAAAGNAACUAACAAAGGAUUCCCCUAGUAACUGCGAGUGAAGCGGGAAAAAGCUCAAAUUUAAAAUCUGGUGGUCUUUGNCCAUCCGAGUUGUAAUUUAGAGAAGCGUCUUCCGCGCUGGNCCGUGCACAAGUCUCCUGGAAUGGAGCGUCAUAGAGGGUGAGAAUCCCGUCUUUGGCACGGACACGCCAGGGCUUUUGUGAUGCGCUCUCGAAGAGUCGAGUUGUUUGGGAAUGCAGCUCAAAAUGGGUGGUGAACUCCAUCUAAAGCUAAAUAUUGGCGAGAGACCGAUAGCGAACAAGUACCGUGAGGGAAAGAUGAAAAGCACUUUGGAAAGAGAGUGAAACAGUACGUGAAAUUGUUGAAAGGGAAACGCUUGAAGUCAGUCGCGUCGACCGAGACUCAGCCUCGCCUUGGCUUGGUGUAAUUCUCGGCUGACGGGUCAGCAUCAAUUUUGCCUCUUGGAUAAUGGCGAGGGAAAUGUGACACCUUUACGGUGUGUUAUAGUCUCUCGUCGCAUGCAAGGGUUGGGAUUGAGGAACUCAGCACGNNNCNUCGGGUGUCGGGGUUACGCCCACGAUACGUGCUUAGGAUGUUGGCGUAAUGGCUUUAAACGACC
rnacentral:rRNA from 1 species